UCACGAUGCAUGUGAAGAUAGAGAAGAGCUAGGUCCUUGCUUAAAAAUGGGCACUGCUGAGAACUGUUUUCUGCUCCCCAGAGUUGGUGGAAUUUUAUUGCUGUGAAGAGACAUUGUGACCAUGGCAACUCUUAUAAGGAUAACAUUUAAUUAAGGGCCUUGCUUAUAGUUUCAGAGGUUCAAUCCAUUAUCAUCAUGGUGCGAAGCUUGGUGGCAUGCAGGCAGAUAUUCUGGAGGAACUAAGAGUCCUACAGCUUGCACGCAACAGGAAGUUGACUGAGGCAUCUGUAUCCUGAACAUAGGAAAUAUCAAAGCCCACCCCCUACAGUGACCCACUUCCUAUAACAAAGCCAUACCUCCUAAUAGUGCCACUCCCUGUGAGAUUAUGGGGGCCAAUUACAUUUAAAUUACCACACUAAGCCUCUCAGAGACCCCUCAUUAAGCUGAAAGGACUGAAAAGCUAACUUCACACAUGCUUCUCUGCCCACUAAAAAUUAUCAUCAAGAUGAAACCUCACAGAUUCUCAAAGAAGGAACAGGAAAUAUUCACAGAUAUGGUCUAGCA
rnacentral:lncRNA from 1 species